CCAGCAAAAAUUGACUUUUGACAGAUAGUCAGGUCCUAGGCCAGUAUCUUUGCCUAACAAAGGUCAAUCUUUACCUUAACUAAGCCUGUCUAUUGUCUUUUUGCAUCUAGGAUAACAUACCUUUGGAGUAUCAAGGUAACUUCCUUUUUCCCAAAACCCUGGGGCACAAGCUGAGACCACAAGAAUCUUCUCAUUGUUAUUGUUAUCAUGUUAAUUGUUGACUGUUAACUAUCCCUCACCCACCUGUGUAAAAAAAGUACGGGACUAUCAUUUUACUUUUUGU